GACGAACGCUGGCGGCGUGCUUAACACAUGCAAGUCGAACGGAAAGGCCUGCUUUCCCUUGUGGAUUGCGGGUGCUCGCGUGGCGAACGGGUGAGUAACACGUGAGUGAUCUGCCCCCAACUUGGGUAUAAGCCUGGGAAACUGGGUCUAAUUCCCGAUAGGACUGCAGGGUGGUGCCUGUGGUGGAAAACGAUUUUCUAGUGGUUGGGGAUGAGCUCGCGGCCUGUCAGCUUGUUGGUGGGGGAAUGGCCUACCAAGGCGGCGACGGGUAGCCGGCCUGGGAGGGUGGACGGCAACAUUGGGACUGAGAUACGGCCCAGACUCCGACGGGAGGCAGCAGUGGGGAAUAUUGCACAAGGGGCGGAAGCCUGAGGCAGCGACGCCGCGUGGGGGAUGACGGGCUUCGGGUGGUAAACUCCUUUCGACCGCGAGGAAGCCACCUGGUUGGAAGGGUGGUGACGGUAGUGGGAGAAGAAGCACCGGCUAACUACGUG
rnacentral:rRNA from 1 species